UUACUUACCUGGCUUGGGGGUUACCCUGAUCAAGAAGGCGGUUCCCCCAGGGCGAGGUCUUGUCAUUGCACUGCGACUUGGUUGACCCCUGCAAAUGCCCCAAAUGUGUGCAUCUCGGGUGCAUGUUAUAUUAGUGGCAUUAUUAUGAUAAUGG